CUUUCACACAUCUUCUAACCCUGCUAGCAUCAGCCUGAAACCACGCUAUCACUUCCGGUAACAGACUUUCAAAGUAAAAUCAGAAGAGGUUUGACGGAUUUAUCAGAGACGUAACAUCGAUGUGCGCAUGACCAGGAGGAACACCGGACCUGAACCGGGCCUGAACCGGGCCUCCAGAAACAUCAGAAAUCAGUUUGAUCCGUUUCCCUCCGGAGGAUCCAGAACCAUCGGAUCCAUCCAGUCAGAGCAGAGCCAGUCACCAUGGUAA